CAGCAUUUGCUCUUAGAACCAGGAACAG
rnacentral:piRNA from 1 species